UUAUGUGAUCGUCUCUCGCAUAUCAAUAAGCGGAGGAAAAGAAACUAACAAGGAUUCCCUUAGUAACGGCGAGUGAAGCGGGAAGAGCUCAAAUUUGAAAUCUUCAAGGUUUUACCUUGACGAAUUGUAGUUUAAAGAAGUGUUUUCUGUUGAAGUUUUGGUAAAAGUUCUUUGGAAUAGGACAUCAUAGAGGGUGAGAAUCCCGUAUUUGACCAUUAUUUUCAGCUGUGUGAUACACUUUCAAAGAGUCGGAUUGUUUGGGAAUGCAGUCCAAAAUGGGUGGUAAAUUUCAUCUAAAGCUAAAUAUUGGCGAGAGACCGAUAGCGAACAAGUACCGUGAGGGAAAGAUGAAAAGAACUUUGAAAAGAGAGUUAAACAGUACGUGAAAUUGUCAAAAGGGAAGCGUUUGACACCAGUGUUGUUUUCUCGAAAAUCAAUUAAAAAGAGUUAGAUUUUGUUGUGUAUUGACCUUAACAGCUUGCAUUUCAAUUUUCUUGCUUUUUUUAAUGCACUUUUCGUUUAACAAGUCAACAUCAGUUUCUUUUGUUGUAAAAAGGUCAUUGGAAGGUGGCUCUCUUUUCGGAGAAAGUGUUUAUAGCCUUUGACUCCUGCAAUCGGAGAGACUGAGGUCUGCAGCGUAGAUCCUUCGGGGUUAGAUACAUUUGUGCUAAGUUAUAGCUUUUUAUAGACAACUUGUUGACUAUGAUUAGUCUUGUAGCUUACUCGCUUAUGCUAUUUUACCUACGCUUAGGAUGUUGAAGAUGUAGCACAUCAU
rnacentral:rRNA from 1 species